CGGCAUGUUCCCAGGUUGAGGUAGUAGGUUGUAUAGUUUAGAGUUACAUCAAGGGAGAUAACUGUACAGCCUCCUAGCUUUCCUUGGGACUUGCAC
ensembl:miRNA